rfam:Brassica napus, WGS project CCCW01000000 data, contig: 2526
AGAAUAUAAAAUCAGUCUCUUAAUUUUUAACCAAAAAAACUAAGAAACCGGUUCUUAAAUAAGAGUUUUAAGAGCCGGUUCUUAACUUUUUUAGUUAAAAGUUAAGAGACGUAUUCUUAUAUUCC